rnacentral:rRNA from 1 species
UACGAAGGGGGCUAGCGUCGCUCGGAUUUACUGGGCGUAAAGGGCGCGUAGGCGGACACUUAAGUCAGGGGUGAAAUCCCGGGGCUCAACCUCGGAGCUGCCUUUGAUACUGGGUGUCUUGAGUAUGAGAGAGGUGUGUGGAACUCCGAGUGUAGAGGUGAAAUUCGUAGAUAUUCGGAAGAACACCAGUGGCGAAGGCGACACACUGGCUCAUUACCGACGCUGAGGCGCGAAAGCGUGGGGAGCAAACAGG